UGAAGGGCGAAAACAGCUGACCACCAACCAGCAGGUGACGGAGGAAGACAACUGAGGGUGGUGGGCCGCCGCUGCCCAAGGGAACAUUUCACGCUCUUAUUACCCUGCCUAAGCUAUGAAACUGAAGGACGUGGAGAUGGAUGAACACCUGCGGCAGCCAUACGAGGGUCAGCUGAUCAAGUUCACCAAUGUGGUGAAAGGCUGGCAGGGACGCUGGUUCAUCCUCAAUCCUGAGAUUGGAACUCUCGAAUAUUAUCUAAGUGAGAGUGACAAGCAUGAGAGGGCACGCGGCUGCAUUCAGUUGGCGGGUGCUGUUAUUUCUCCCAGUGAUGAGGAUCCCUACACUUUCACUGUGUCACCAGCUGCCGGGGAGUCUUACAAGCUUCGGGCGGUGGACACCAGGGACCGCCAGAUGUGGCUGAACAGACUCAGAGUUGUUGCUGAGAUGCACACCCGUGCUAUUGCUCAUAAUCAUCCUCCUUUGGCACCCCGGGAGCAUCGGACUGCUGGAGGAGGGGUGGGUGGGGGUGGGCAGCAGGUAGGAGCUCCGGCCCCUAUGGGUUUGGCAGUGCUGGAUGCCUUUACACAGGUAGCUGAGGUUUUAGAGGAAGCAAGGAGGCAGCAUAGUGCACUUGCAACAGCUAUUGAGGAUAUGCCUUCCUAUGGUACUGGCAUGAAGUGUACAGAUCCAAACCUGCUCCUCCUGAAGGCUACAAGUCAGGCUACACUCCUAUGCCUUGACCAGUGCCUUGGAGUGUUGAGGACACAGCACAUGUCUGCUCCCCAUCACCAUCCCUCCCCACCAGUCACCAGCGUAAGGGUGGGGGGCCUGGGAGCACGUUCCUCUCCCCGCUGUUCCCCCCUCCUGGGACGCUCCCCUCGCUUCCACCGCCGCACUGCUUCGGAAGCCUCCUCGGCAUCCAUCCAGCGGCGGCGGUCCUCUCCCACUGCCACCCGUCUUGGCUCUCCGUCCCUGCGUUCGUCCUCACCAUCACUGAGGGCAAGAACUGCUCCACACUCCCCAACGCCUGGCUCCUCCCAGGGAUUCAGUGGCCACCCCUUGACUGGCAUUACGGGACAACCAGUGGCAUCAUUCACUGCAAGCUCCAGUGUGUGUCAGCCACCAGGAGAAGGCCAGGGCAGUAACAACUCCUGUUCCUCAUCACUUGCUUCUGUUACCUCCACGCCUACACCACCACCAACACUACUCUCACGAACAGGGACAAGUGAAAAUGAGUCUGAGGUGAGUGAUGAGGAAGGUCCAGGUGGUGAAGGAGACUUGGGUGAAGUUGGGGAUGGGCAGCGAUCUGUCAUUAUGCAUAUCAUCUCUCAACUCCGCCUGGGCAUGGACCUCACACGAGUCACUCUUCCAACAUUCAUUCUGGAACGCCGAUCCCUCCUUGAGAUGUUUGCUGACUUUCUUGGACAUCCAGACUACUUUGUUAGAAUCGGGGAUGCCAGCACCCCUGAGGAACGUAUGCAGGAGGUGGUAAAGUGGUAUCUUACCAGCAUCCAUGUUGGCCGGAAUGGGUCAGUGGCCAAGAAGCCGUACAACCCUAUUAUUGGUGAGGUCUUCCACUGCAGCUGGAAGGUUCCUCGUGACAACUGCCCUGCCUUGACCAUGGGUCCAACCAGCCUGGGACCCCAAAUCACCAUGAGUGUCACUCCAGUGACCCCCACAGGAUGGAGAUGAUGUCAUUGAUGGUCGGACAGAUAGCAGGAAGUACAUCACAAUCAAAUUUUCAGCUGAGCAGGUCUCACAUCAUCCACCAGUGUCAGCUUUCUUCUUUGAGUGCCCUGAGAAGCAGUUAAGCAUCAAUGCCCACAUAUG
rnacentral:misc_RNA from 1 species